rnacentral:rRNA from 1 species
UGCUAAUACAUGCAAGUCGAACGCUUUGUGGUUCAACUGAUUUGAAGAGCUUGCUCAGAUAUGACGAUGGACAUUGCAAAGAGUGGCGAACGGGUGAGUAACACGUGGGAAACCUACCUCUUAGCAGGGGAUAACAUUUGGAAACAGAUGCUAAUACCGUAUAACAAUGACAACCGCAUGGUUGUUAUUUAAAAGAUGGUUCUGCUAUCACUAAGAGAUGGUCCCGCGGUGCAUUAGCUAGUUGGUAAGGUAAUGGCUUACCAAGGCGAUGAUGCAUAGCCGAGUUGAGAGACUGAUCGGCCACAAUGGGACUGAGACACGGCCCAUACUCCUACGGGAGGCAGCAGUAGGGAAUCUUCCACAAUGGGCGAAAGCCUGAUGGAGCAACGCCGCGUGUGUGAUGAAGGGUUUCGGCUCGUAAAACACUGUUGUAAGAGAAGAAUGACAUUGAGAGUAACUGUUCAAUGUGUGACGGUAUCUUACCAGAAAGGAACGGCUAAAUACGUGCCAGCAGCCGCGGUAAUACGUAUGUUCCAAGCGUUAUCCGGAUUUAUUGGGCGUAAAGCGAGCGCAGACGGUUAUUUAAGUCUGAAGUGAAAGCCCUCAGCUCAACUGAGGAAUUGCUUUGGAAACUGGAUGACUUGAGUGCAGUAGAGGAAAGUGGAACUCCAUGUGUAGCGGUGAAAUGCGUAGAUAUAUGGAAGAACACCAGUGGCGAAGGCGGCUUUCUGGACUGUAACUGACGUUGAGGCUC